CUGUAUACACACACAAAGUAAAGACAGGAGCACUCUCGCGGUUUUCCAUCUUGAUAAAGACCCUAAAGGGUCGAAACAUUAAUGUAUAGGUGGUGAUAAUUUUUGAAAUAUAAUUGGAAAACUGAGAGAGUGCUCCUGUCUUUACUUUGUUUAUAUGCCCU